rnacentral:rRNA from 1 species
UACGGGGGGGGCAAGCGUUGUUCGGAAUUACUGGGCGUAAAGGGCUCGUAGGCGCCAACUAAGUCAGACGUGAAAUCCCCAGGCUUAACCUGGGAACUGCGUCUGAUACUGGCAGGCUUGAAUCCGGGAGAGGGAUGUGGAAUUCCAGGUGUAGCGGUGAAAUGCGUAGAUAUGUGGAGGAAUACCGAUGGCGAAGGCAGCCCCCUGGGAUAACACUGACGCUCAUGCACGAAAGCGUGGGGAGCAAACAGG